rnacentral:rRNA from 1 species
AUGCGGGAGUUUUGGAGUAUAUACAAACUAGUUGAUGAUUCUCCUGCCCAAAUAAUUGAAGCUGAUCGUAUUCUUGAAAAUUCUGCAAAGAGACAAUUUAGGCAGAAGUGGUACCAAGCCCGUAAGGAAGCCGUCAAACUGUACUAUAAGGAUAUUGUUAAGGAGCCCAUCAAAGAUCAUGAAGCAUGUCAAAAAGAGCUUACCAAAAACCAAUAUAUGCAAGCUCAGCUUUAUUGGUGCACUGAUCAUGAAGUGUGGGAAAGCAUAUGUGACUACUGGUGCUCCUCUAAAUUCGAGGGGUUGCGGAACCUUGGCCGAGUGUCACGCUUCAAGUCAGAGGAUAUUGCUCAAAACCGGGGUGGUUCACGAUCAUUUGUUCAGACCGAAAGCAUGUUGGGAAAAGAGCAUGGGCCUGCAGCAGCAACAAACAUGAACACUUACAAGUGCAUGAAGGCAGGAGUUAAAAUUGUACCGAGAGUGGAGAAAGUGGCCCCAUCAACAACACUAAGGUCAACGAGGGUCUUAACACCUAUUACACAGUUCUGA